AGUGAACGCUGGCGGUAGACCUAACACAUGCAAGUCGAACGGCAGCACAGUAAGAGCUUGCUCUUACGGGUGGCGAGUGGCGGACGGGUGAGGAAUACAUCGGACUCUACUUUUUCGUGGGGGAUAACGUAGGGAAACUUACGCUAAUACCGCAUACGCCCUACGGGUGAAAGCAGGGGAUCUUCGGACCUUGCGCGAUUGAAUGAGCCGAUGUUGGAGUGGCUAGUUGGCGGGGUAAAGGCCCACCAAGGCGACGAUCCGUAGCUGGUCUGAGAGGAUGAUCGGCCACACUGGAAGGGAGACACGGUCCAGACGCCUGCGGGAGGCAGCAGUGGGGAAUAUUGGACAAUGGUCGCAAGCCUGAUCCAGCCAUACCGCGUGUGAGAAGGAGGCCUUCGGGUUGUAAAGCCCGUUUGUUGGGUAAGAAAAGCAGCAGGUUAAUACGCCGCUGGUCUGACGGUACCCAAAGAAUAAGCACCGGCUAACUUCGUG
rnacentral:rRNA from 1 species